rnacentral:rRNA from 1 species
UUUACAGGCUUAACACAUGCAAGUCGAGGGGCAGCAUUUUAGUUUGCUUGCAAACUGAAGAUGGCGACCGGCGCACGGGUGAGUAACACGUAUCCAACCUGCCGAUAACUCCGGGAUAGCCUUUCGAAAGAAAGAUUAAUACCGGAUAGCAUACGAAUAUCGCAUGAUAUUUUUAUUAAAGAAUUUCGGUUAUCGAUGGGGAUGCGUUCCAUUAGUUUGUUGGCGGGGUAACGGCCCACCAAGACUACGAUGGAUAGGGGUUCUGAGAGGAAGGUCCCCCACAUUGGAACUGAGACACGGUCCAAACUCCUACGGGAGGCAGCAGUGAGGAAUAUUGGUCAAUGGGCGCGAGCCUGAACCAGCCAAGUAGCGUGAAGGAUGAAGGCUCUAUGGGUCGUAAACUUCUUUUAUAUGGGAAUAAAGUUUUCCACGUGUGGAAUUUUGUAUGUACCAUAUGAAUAAGGAUCGGCUAACUCCGUGCCAGCAGCCGCGGUAAUACGGAGGAUCCGAGCGUUAUCCGGAUUUAUUGGGUUUAAAGGGAGCGUAGGUGGAUUGUUAAGUCAGUUGUGAAAGUUUGCGGCUCAACCGUAAAAUUGCAGUUGAAACUGGCAGUCUUGAGUACAGUAGAGGUGGGCGGAAUUCGUGGUGUAGCGGUGAAAUGCUUAGAUAUCACGAAGAACUCCGAUUGCGAAGGCAGCUCACUAGACUGUCACUGACACUGAUGCUCGAAAGUGUGGGUAUCAAACAGGAUUAGAUACCCUGGUAGUCCACACAGUAAACGAUGAAUACUCGCUGUUUGCGAUAUACAGUAAGCGGCCAAGCGAAAGCAUUAAGUAUUCCACCUGGGGAGUACGCCGGCAACGGUGAAACUCAAAGGAAUUGACGGGGGCCCGCACAAGCGGAGGAACAUGUGGUUUAAUUCGAUGAUACGCGAGGAACCUUACCCGGGCUUAAAUUGCAACAGAAUAUAUUGGAAACAGUAUAGCCGUAAGGCUGUUGUGAAGGUGCUGCAUGGUUGUCGUCAGCUCGUGCCGUGAGGUGUCGGCUUAAGUGCCAUAACGAGCGCAACCCUUAUCUUUAGUUACUAACAGGUUAUGCUGAGGACUCUAGAGAGACUGCCGUCGUAAGAUGUGAGGAAGGUGGGGAUGACGUCAAAUCAGCACGGCCCUUACGUCCGGGGCUACACACGUGUUACAAUGGGGGGUACAGAAGGCGGCUACCUGGUGACAGGAUGCUAAUCCCAAAAACCUCUCUCAGUUCGGAUCGAAGUCUGCAACCCGACUUCGUGAAGCUGGAUUCGCUAGUAAUCGCGCAUCAGCCAUGGCGCGGUGAAUACGUUCCCGGGCCUUGUACACACCGCCCGUCAAGCCAUGAAAGCCGGGGGUACCUGAAGUACGUAACCGCAAGGAGCGUCCUAGGGUAAAACUGGUAAUUGGGGCUA